ACGUAGGGUGCGAGCGUUAAUCGGAAUUACUGGGCGUAAAGCGUGCGCAGGCGGCUUUGUAAGACAGAUGUGAAAUCCCCGGGCUCAACCUGGGAACUGCAUUUGUGACUGCAAGGCUAGAGUGCGUCAGAGGGAGGUGGAAUUCCGCGUGUAGCAGUGAAAUGCGUAGAGAUCCGGAGGAACACCAGAGGCGAAGGCGACACCCUGGGCCUGUCCUGACGCUGAGACGCGAGAGCGUGGGGAGCAAACAG
rnacentral:rRNA from 1 species